AAAUAUAUAAAUUUAAUAUAUUUUAUUUAUUCUUUUAUAUUUUUAGUAUAUCGUACAAAUUUAAUAAUUUUCGAAAAUAUUUGAAUUGCUAUUUGGUAAAUAUUUUUAUUAGGCCGUCCGCAAAUAUAAAAUUCGUUGGUAAAUAUUCCACCGCGAUUUUUCCGUUUUGCGUUAAUUACCGUAGUUAUAUAUUUUAUAUAUUAAUAUAUUUAAAUUUCGUUAAAAAGUUUUUAUUUUACCCCAUUAUUAACCGAAUUAUUUAUAUAUUAUUAUAAAAUAUUUUAAUUGCGCGAAAAAUAUUUAAAUUAAUAUUAUUUAAUAAUUUUUUAAACGCAAUAAUUUAUUUUCCAAUUUAACCCAAAAUUAAUAAUUUAAAUUCCGUUAAUAAUAUGGAAAUAAUUGUUUAUUUUAAAAAUUUCCAAUAUAUAAAAUUAUUUCCGAUUAUAAAUAUAAGAUUUUAUAAAUUGCAUUCAAUUUUAACGCAAUUAAUAAAUAAUGCGUUGGACGCGACCAUUAAAAAUCCGUAAAUUUUCCAGGGUCCGAAACGAAUUGCUAAAAAACGCGUCGAAAAGAAAUAACGUAUAAUUUAAUUUACCGCAUUUAUAUAUUUUUCGAAUGGGUUGGUUAAAUAUUUUAAUAAUUUUAAAACGGCGAACGCAAUAUUAAAGCGAAUCGUUACGGUUAUAUAUUAAAUUUCCCAUUUUUUCCUAAUAUAUCCGGAUAAAUUAUUUAUUUCCCGGUUCGCCCUAAUUAAAUAAUAACUUCGUAACCGGAUAAAAUAUUGCGGGGAAAAAUUUAUUUAUUUUGUACAAAUUAUAUUUUUACGCCAAUUCUUUUAUAUAUAAAUUAUAUAUCAAAUAAAUGCAUUAUUAUUUUCGAUUUUUAAUAAUUUUUAUAU
rnacentral:sRNA from 1 species